rnacentral:rRNA from 1 species
AACGAACGCUGGCGGCAUGCCUAACACAUGCAAGUCGAACGAGAUCUUCGGGUCUAGUGGCGCACGAGUGCGUAACGCGUGGGAAUCUGCCCUUUGGUUCGGAAUAACAGUUGGAAACGACUGCUAAUACCGGAAGAUGACGAAAGUCCAAAGAUUUAUCGCCAGAGGAUGAGCCCGCGUAGGAUUAGCUAGUUGGUGUGGUAAAGGCGCACCAAGGCGACGAUCCUUAGCUGGUCUGAGAGGAUGAUCAGCCACACUGGGACUGAGACACGGCCCAGACUCCUACGGGAGGCAGCAGUGGGGAAUAUUGGACAAUGGGCGAAAGCCUGAUCCAGCAAUGCCGCGUGAGUGAUGAAGGCCUUAGGGUUGUAAAGCUCUUUUACCCGGGAUGAUAAUGACAGUACCGGGAGAAUAAGCUCCGGCUAACUCCGUGCCAGCCGCCGCGGUAA